AACGAACGCUGGCGGCAUGCCUAACACAUGCAAGUCGAACGAGACCUUCGGGCCUAGUGGCGCACGGGUGCGUAACGCGUGGGAACCUGCCCUUAGGUUCGGAAUACCUCCCCGAAAGGGGUGCUAAUACCGGAUAAUGUCUUCGGACCAAAGAUUUAUCGCCUUUGGAUGGGCCCGCGUUGGAUUAGCUAGUUGGUAGGGUAAUAGCCUGCCAAGGCGACGAUCCAUAGCUGGUCUGAGAGGAUGACCAGCCACACUGGGACUGAGACACGGCCCAGACUCCUACGGGAGGGAGCAGUAGGGAAUAUUGGAGGAGGGGCGAAAGCCUGAUCCAGCAAUGCGGCGGAAGUGAUGAAGGCCCUAGGGUUGUAAAGCUCUUUUACCCGGGAUGAGAAUGACAGUACCGGGAGAAUAAGCUCCGGCUAACUCCGUG
rnacentral:rRNA from 1 species